GUUCAAUUACUUCUAGGCUGCAGCAGAGAAAUUGUUUAACAGAGAGAAGAUGCAAAGUAGAAUGUAGUGAAUGGAGCUACAGCAACUUUAUAUGAGCUGAAAUUUUACUCCUUCAGAAAAACAGAGUGGUGCGAAACCAUAAUUCCAGCUGCUGGAAAGGGAAGAAACAGAGGCGCAUUGUCUGUUCUUCUUCCACAGCAGUCCCUGAUGCAGAUUUACGGCAUUUCUUGGGAGUGAGCAAAAUAACUCGGCAGUUCUGGACGUAUUAGUCAGUGGUUUAAAAAUCCAGUAGAAGAGCUCGCCAUUUGCUUGUUAAUUCUUGAAUUCAAUAGAUUUUCACACAGGAGUUCUGAGCAGCACACCCAAAGCACUCAGGGAAUAAUGUGGUUCUUACUAGGACUCUAAAUUUGGAGACUAAAAUUUGUUUUAAAUGGUAUUUUGUAUUAGCAGGGGAAAAAAAGUGUUUCUGGUCUGAAAUUUUAUAUGGCAACUUUCACCUCAAGGUAAUGAAAACAAGCUGCGCUAUAAACUUUUCAAAACUGGGGUUUAUGGAAAAGCUGACAAAUCCUUUAUUGGAGUGAUGUGGCUGGGAGGACUUUAAAAGAUUCCCAUGGAGCAUUAUUGAUCGUGAUCACACAGUCCCGAGCACUCGCACUGGAGACUGCAGGCAGAAGUCCCGCUGUUUUCAAUUACUGCGCCGGCCUGGCGGCGUGUCCGGCCGACGGGGCCGUGUCAGAGCUGGUCAUCUGCUGGGCGGGGGCCCCACAGGCAGCCCGAGGUUGGUGUGCUUCCUGCCCGGGAACGUCAUGUCCCGUGUAUCCCCAGCUGGGCCAGCAGCCCUGAGCCCCGUCAUUUCUAGCAAAGUCUCUUUAUACCAACCCCCAGGGGAAGGAGGGAUUUUUUUCAGGAGAAUGAGAGGAAGAGGAAAUAGAAAAACACACAAAUUUUGGAUUUCUUCCUCUUUUUGCUGGAAUUUAACAUCAUGCACAGAUCAUGUAAAAGGAACGGACUUUUAGUGGAAGAAUAUGGCUUCACUUCUUCCCUUUGGUUUUGAAAGCGAAGUCAUGUGAUGACGACGGAAGCACCAGCGAAAGCUGGUGAUUGGACCUCAGGAAAUUCACAGUGGUGUUUUUGUGCCUCUAAAUGAGCAACACUGCUGCUUGUAAAGAAGUGAGGUAAAAUACUGGCCCCACUGAAGUCCUUGGCAAGCCUCCUGCUGCCUUCAGUGGGGCCAAGAUUUUACCCUGAGUCCUGUAAGCCGUCAGGCUUUUGAGUUUUUAAUGGGCCCACUCCUGCACAGACAGACUGCUCUUGUAAGCAAGGGUUAGCUAGAUUGGCUCGGAUACCACACAAUUUAAAACUUAAAGGAAAGCAAUUUUGUAGUGAAAUUAAGGGACUGUAAAAGGAAUUUGGCUUUAGACAACUUGCUUCUGUUUGGAUUUGGAUUAUGCUGCAAUCUCCUUGUCUGUUUUUAGAGCACAUGUUCCUGCCAGCAUCAAUAAUCUAUUUUCCUUAGUGCAAGUGAAAGGCUCUGAUGGCUCAGAGGUGUAGUCUGGUAUCCAGUACUGCUCUGGAUUUCUUCUUUGGUUUAGGAAUCAGGCUACAAAUAGUCAGAGACUGCAAGCUGCUCCUUAACAUUUAUGUGCUGCCAACACCCGAUUCAUUGACACGUGGGCCAACACACUCCUUCUUUCCCGUUGUUCUUCUUACAGUCAUUCCUGUAUUUUUUCCUGAUCCCUUGAGUUAAUUCAAAAGCCUUUCUUUGCCCAUGCAGUCCCUCCCAGCCCAAUCUAAACACUCAUUUGUGCUUGGCCUGAUUGUGUUUUCAUUGGCAAUAUUAAUUUUAUCCUGUCCAGCAGUGUAUUAAUCAAGUGCUUUCUUGAACUUUUCAGGUUGCCUCAAAUACCUGUAUUUCCCCCAAGUACUCCAAAGUAAAUAAAUCAGGACUUUAGAUAGUGAACAUCGCAUAUAUCAUUUCACCUCAGGUCACUGUAUCAUGUGGAGGUUAAGCUUCUAAGGGAUAGAGGUGGGAAAUGAAGACUACAGAGACAGUUGUGGAGGAGGAGUGUGGGGGUAGCAGUCACUCCAGAGAAGUGCAUAAAAUACCCAGGGGUAAGACUAGGAGAGACUGUGUAUGGGGAAGCCCAGCUCUUACUGGCAUAUGCUGCUGCCCUGGGGGAAUGUGUGCUGCAGCCUGCCAAAGCAUGGCUCCACUGGUGCUCUCCAAACAUAUCUUUCCUCUGAGGGCAUCUUCUCCUCUGUCCUGUCAAAAAUGUCUCCUUUUCUCUUUUCCUUUCUCGCAGCAAAUGAGGGCCUACAUUUUCCUCUUAUAGAAAUUCUGCUUGUCCUUGGCUUAUGUCUUGGGUGGUAAAGCCGUGAAGCAUUCCUGGACUUCUCUGAGCUUAUGUGUGUGUGCAAAGCCUGAGGCAGGUCCAGCAGGCACCUGUCUGAUGUGGCAUUAAGCAUGCAGUGCUGCUUGGGGGCUGCUUGGGUGCCUUGCAGAAGGCACCUCACAGCAGAGCCCCCACAGCCCCUGACAGUCAAAGAUCCUGGUGCUGUCACACAGUGUGUGACAGAGUAGCUCCUCACAGAGUGCUGCCAACUGUUUUCUGCUUUAUUUAAACAGUGACUUUUAAGUGGAAAAAGGAUCUCUUGAGAUUGGUCACUGAUAUGAAAUUUUUGUUCAAAAGUGGGAUGAAAGGAACGUUUUCGUGGUAAAAGUAAUGGAUUAUAAAAGAUAGGGCCUACUUUAAUAGGAAAGGACCAUCAGCUACUACAUUCAUGUUAAAUAUACAUAAAUUGAGGAUUUCAUUUGCAAUAUCCCAGAAGUUAGAACUAUUUCAAUGCCAGUAAGCCUAAAUAUUUAAUUUAGCCUUAUCUGAAAUGCCAUCUGUCUUCUUUAGCAUUCCCAAUGUUAACUAAAGUGAAUAAUGAUUGUGCUUAAUUAUGACAAACUUCCCCUGUGUUGGAAGAGUGGAUUGGGAGAAAGAGAAAGCUACAAAAUGUGCUUCUGACGGGGCAGCUAGGAGUGGUGAGAAAGGAAAGAUGAGGACCUUCAUCUGUGGAAUUCCUGAUGUGUUCUAAAGCUGAGAUUUAAUCACCACACCAUGGAUUUUGUAUAUGAGUGUAAGCUCCUACUCUAACACCCUAGUGGUCAUACACCUUUGUGAUUUUGCUGCCAUGGAGCCUGACUCAGUUAAACAUUAGCAGCGAUUUUACAGAGCUGACUUGAUGAAAAUGUCAGGUGCUUUAUCCCUGCUAGGAUUUUGCAACAUAAUAAUUAUUGCAUGCUAAUUUAAAACCUCCCACCUUUUGGCAGUGAAAGAAUGUAUGGGAAAAAGUAUAAAACCAAAUGAAGUGAUUGCCCUACAAAAUGUACUACAGAUGUACUACAAAACCCAGACUGGAUUCAACGUCCUGAACAUGCAAGAUAAACACAACCAUUUAAGUGCAAAGAAAGUUUACCUUUUGUGACUGCAUUUAUGCUUGUCAUGCAAGGAAGAGUAUUUGAGUCUAGCUCCAGCAGUGACCAUCAGUAUCAGAGAGUGCCUGGCCUUUUAUAAGGAAGCUUAAAAAUUAUCCAAAUGUUUCUGGAGACCAAAAAAUGUAAAAUGUUCCACUACAUCAGUCACAUCUGCUUCAAGGUUAAUUUCAAAAUCCUUAGCACUCUAUUCUCCAAACACUCCCUUCCCAAAAAACCCAGAGCACUUGACAUCCAAAAGAGUUUCACCUUAUGGACAUUUGCACCUUGGCAAACCGAGAAAAAGUGCCUCAUAAUUUGUAGACUGCAUUGUCAGGGAGCAGUGUAUAAAGACUGAGGAGAAUUAGGGGGAGUUCACUGAAGCAUUUAAAAGAGGAAGGAAAUAAUGCUGCAAGAAAUUUGAUCCGCUAUAAUAUGUACAAAAAUUUUAGGUUGGUUGGUUGGUUGGUUGUGUUUUUUUGGUUUUUUGUUGUUGUUGUUGUUGUUGUUGUUGUUGUUGUUUUGUUUUGUUUUGUUUUGUUUUGUUUUGUUUUGUUUUUAAGAUUAACACAAUUUGGAUUGUGUUCACCAUGUGACUUAUCUUAAUACAUUUCCUCAUGGUGACAAUAUUUUUCCUUAUGCUUUCAAAUGCGAGGGACACCUUCAGGAGCUCAGAGAGUGUUUCUGCCAUCAAGAGACGGGGGACCAGGAAGAAACACAAUUGUCGUAAACUUCCUCCUGCUUCCCAUUUAGUCAAGAACGUUCCAUGCCUGCUGUGAUUCUCAGCCUCACCAGGACAAACAGGGAGAGUGACUGAUGAAAUGAUGCAUGGCUCUACGGCUGACUGCUCCCUUUCCCUUGCGUUUGCCACUUGCACCGGCGGCUGUACUGCAGCCAUAUAGAUCACAUGUGUCCCUCCAGUACUGCAACCAGGAAGAAGUACUCGUGGUGCUUUGUGGCUUUUGUCCGUAGUGAUGAACACAUGAACCAGAAGCCUCAAGCAAAUGCAGAUCAAUCAGACCUGUUGGACAGUGAAGCAGUGGAAAUGAAUGAGCAGUGACAGUGGCCUCACUGAUCCAAACUUCCCCAAUUUUUUUUUUCAUCAUGUGAAAUAGCUGCUGAAAUAUCCACUUAUUCAUCCCGUGAUCCUACAUGCUUCUCACUUCUAGCAAUGCCUAAGUGCCCCCAGUACCAACAGAUGAAAUAUAGAUGCAAAUUUACUAAAUGCUAAUUUUUUUACACUGCUAAUCACCCAUCAUAAAUUAUAUGAAUAUACUGAAUUCACUGGAAGAAAAAAGAAAAAUGAAAGAGAGGGAAAGAGACAAUCCAAGUAUCUAUAUAACUGAGGUAAGAUGUGAUGUGAGUUAAAAUGCUGUGAAAUAUUUGGUUUCUUAUUUGAUGCCACAAGUUCCUGGGUAUGUUAUUGAUAAGCUAUCUAUCAUUUAGAGUUACUAAGGCCGUAAGCUUGGACUUCUUUUCAACAUGAUAAUAUGGAAUGGUUAAAAAUUCUGAUUUUUUUUUCCAGAAUAGUUGAUGGACGAAAAUUAAAGACUGAUUACUGGGAAUUUUACUGAAAGCAGAGAGAAAGACACCAUCUGAAUUGUUUACAGCUUGAAUCUGUCACAUUAAGACUUUUUUAAAUUGAAAAGAACUCCUUAAGAGGCAGAAAUAUAGCUGAUUGAGCAAGCAUUUCCCUGAUUAUUUUCUGUGAAGGCCUAUAGUAGGUCAGGCUGUUGUAAUCUACAUUAGCUACUCUGCUAAUGAUUUGCAAAUGAAGAAUCCAAAGAAAUGUGAUGGGUCUUUCAGAAGCCAUCAAAUUGUACUGCCAUCUUGAUCCAUUGGAAAUGAUUCAUUUUAUAUAAACAGAACAUUAAAAAUAAGUCAGAAAGCUCUGAACCAUAAUAACUUUUCUUUUCACUGGACUAAAGUUAGCAACAACAUUAUUGUUCUAACCUGAGAUGUACCUCACAUGUUUUUACCUUGGAGAAUUUUUUCAUAAUCUCCUUGCAUAUUUCUAUUACUCUCUGUUCCUACUGUCACUGAUACUGAUUUAAUAACUUAAUGACCUGAACUGUUUCUGACCUCCAAUUCCUUCCUGAAGUUUUUUUUUUGCAACAAGGAUCAGUGCUACAGUCUUCUACAGCUGUCAAAAUCUCUGCACAACCUCAAGAAUAGGUGAGAGCAUCUCCCAGGCAACAGGCAACAGUCUAGAAAUGCUAAUGAUGCAUAUUAACUUCCUAUCUCUGCAUCUAUCUACCACAGUGUGUUUCUUAGAUCAGAGUUGAGGAACUUAGUAUAAUGUGGAUCUGCUCAGUACAAGUCAUUUUGUCUCUAGCUCACCAUCUGGGUCCCCUGGUCUGCGCGCUCAAAAUGUGGUGUCAGAUUAUGGAUCCUGUGCAUGCCAAGGUAUUGCCUUUUCAAGAGCUGUUUCUCCCAGCUGAGUGUCCAUAGAUGUUGACUAUUUUUACUGUAAACUCAAACAGAUUAAUAGAUAUAUUACAUACAGUUUAUCUUGUUAAGAACAAAAAUCAGGGUCAUAUAUAGCUAAGUAGAAAUUUUGUCAGGCUAUAUCGUCUUUGGGCAGCUAGGAGUUUUACUCAAUUAUUUUUUUUAUUUCAAAGAAGCUGUUAAUUGUUUUAAGGCCAGUUUCUUAUUCCUGGUAGGAUUUUUUUUUCUAAUUCUCUUGUUUGUCAAGACACUAAACCCCUGAGGGUAGCCACCCUUACACAGGGGGAUGUGUGUGUGAGGAAGUCGUCCCCUCUGUAGAAUAGAUGAGUGAGAUAUGAAUCUUGGGAUAUGGUGCAAUGGUUGUGGGUGUGAAAUGAAGGAUUUCAACUGGAAAGAAGUGUCUGGGUCAGAGAAAAUGCACAAAGUUAUAACUAGAUGACUCCAGCUGUGCAGAAAAUAUGGAGUACCCUGGGUGUGAGGAAAUUGCUGCUCAGAUACGUUGUUAUGAUCAAGCCCUGAAGCGCUGAGUUCUUAAUAGGCACCCAGUAAAGAGGUUUUCUCUGCUCUUAACUUUUGUGUUGUCUGCUGAACAUUUUUCUCUCUGCUGCAACUCUGGGAUCACUGAUUCUACCUUCACAGGCUCAGCCCUUCCUCUCUGUCACUGAUUCUCAGUGGCUUCUAAUCUCCUAAUGUGCCUUACUGAACGGACCAUGAGAAACUAAUCUCUGAUAUUUAGUUCUUACAGGGUGUGUGUGUGAGGGAGCACAAGGCAGCAAUAUUUAAGAACUUCUGGUGUCCAGAAAUCUUAUUCUGCGUAAAGUAGCUCACAAAAGUAAGUGUGAACAGAAAAGGGUGGAGUUUAAGUUUGAGAAAACAAACUUCUUGAUUCUCAGGAUGAUAUUUUUACUGGCUAGUUCUUGUAA